rnacentral:piRNA from 1 species
UAACUAUAAAAAAUAAAAUCA